AAGAUGUUAUCAACCAAUUAAAAAUACAAAGCCAACAUGAGUCUGAAUGAUUACUACAACAUCAAGGUGGGUGUCAAUGUUUUCUUAUUGAUCUCACCUGGCUCAUGUUAUUAUCCCUUGAAAUAUAAUCAUUACAGUGACCCUUACAUUUCAAUAUUAUGAUUGUUUUCAGAACCAAAGAACAUAUCCUUUCAAGCAAUAUACAGCUUUCUUCCAUUCAAGUCCCUGGACAGUGUCAAAUUUCUCUAAGAAGUGCCAAUCCUAGUACAAGUGACAGAAGUGGAGCGAUUCACAUCUACAAGGUCACUCAGUCAAAAGGAGGUCAUUCAAAGGCUGUAAACUGUUUCAUGGAGAACACAUCCCAAUGUUACCACGACGACCUGAUGCCCUCGUCAAGAAGGAGCAACUCAUCAGCAGAAAACUGCAACUUGAGGACUAUCUGAGGAAUAUAUUGAAAAGGCCUUUAUACAGGACACAUCCUGCUACAAUGGCUGGUGGUAAAGGACUCCUUUGUUCUCUACAUGAGGCCAGAGGAUGGCCAAGUAGGCACUGUGAUUCUGUAAGAUAAGGGAUUUCACAUCAAAAUAUGGACCCAGGAGACGGGAGUCAGGCAUGGAGUCACGAUUGAGAAACUUUGCAGGCAGGUUGAGAAAAAUGUGUUUUAUAUUUUAGCAAUUUCAUCAUGCAAUAAUUGCUAUUGAACUUGCUUUCAAAAGCUUUAUAUACAUAUAUGUG